GCCCCGCUCACUCCCCCGGGGUCUCAGGAACACGGUCCCACAAUAAGCACGUGUUUGCACCCGAGCCCCGUGUCGCCAUUUCGUCUGUUCCCGCGUGGACUGAGCCUCGCAGAGACGAGGGGAAAGCGGCCGCCGUCUCCCCCCCCCCCCACCCCCGCCGUGCGUGCCCACAGGCGUCCCCCUGGAGCCGAUCUUGCACGGCAACAAAUGGUAGCAGAGGACGGUUAUUUCCAUCGAUUUGUGAAAGGGGGGAGAGAGAAAGGAACUCUGCUGCCGCAAGAGCUCUGCAGACUCUAAGAGGAGUGGAUUGACCGGGCGGAAAACAAACUCGAAGCUCCGGGACCCUCUUCGGUCCUCGCCGGCAUGCUCUCUAACCCGCCCGAGAGCAGCCGCGCUGCGGGGGCAGCCAGACUGCAGAGGCCGGGAGCGGGGUAGACUUACCCGAGGACAAAGAGGACAGUUUGGCAGUGGCUUGAUGGACUGAGCUUGAAGAGUGGCCCGUCAGGGGGACGGCAUUUGAAUGGGGACCUGAGGUUGAUAGUGGCCGAACCCAGGGUUUCAAGGGCGAGCUCUGGUUAACGGGAACACCCAGACUUCUGGGAGAAGCCAAACCGCGAAAUAAUACGUUCUCAGUUUAGUGUGAUUUUCCACCACCGAGGAGAGAGAUAGAGAUUUCCCCGUCUGAGCCCAGAGGGGUGACAUUGGCCGUGCCUCCCCAGGCGAGAUGCAGUGCACCUGGCAACCCCUCCCAAGAUGGCGCUGGCCAAGCUACAGGGACCCCAUUUUUCCGCCUUGAUCCUUCUCUUCCGCCCACGUUUUCGCGCCCACCCCACCCUUCCCCCAAUGGCACUGCACCAUCCUGCAGCGAGCCAGCCCCUGUUGGGGGGAGGUGAGGUUGGAUUAAUCCCUCAGUCCUUCUUUUGGCUCCCCCUCUGAUGGGAGGUAUCGCCGGAGGGGUCCCUCCGUUAGAGGACCUCCCUUUGUAAGAGAGCUUUCCCCUUUGCUGUGGGGGGGGCCCCUUCGAAGGGAGUGGAGCUGGAAACCUGUACCGGGGCUCCACUGUUUUCCUUCCCCUGAAACAGUGGCGCCCAGGUUCACCCCUUUAUCCCAUCUCCUAAAUGUACCUUGCCAUAAAUUCCCUUGUUAUUUCAAUACAAGUUUUCCCCCAUUGCUUGUGAUAAUUUGGAAAUAACUUCUUGGAUUGAGUUAUAUCUUAUAGAAGGAAAGAUCAUCCUCUCUAAUUACUACCCACAAUGCGAUGCCAACUUCGCAAUCAAAUUGGAGAAACCACAUCGCUGUUUGCUGCCUGCUUGUGCUCUGCUAGUAUUUGGAAACCACAAGCACCGCGUCAUGAAUCCUGCUUUCAUCCUCGAUACAGAAUGUGUUUAUGAUAAUUUUGUACCCUUUAUCUUAAAUUGUAAUGUGGAAAAGAUUUUUGCCCCAUUCAUUGUAACUAUGAUUGGUGUAACACUUUCUGAUCUCUCGAAUUUGUAACAUUGCUAAUUUUGUUUUUACCUCAGAACUCCCUUUUCUUUAUGUAAUUUCAAAAGAGUGAGCUGUAGGAUUUGUAAUUUUCUCUUCUCCCCCCCUUCACUCCCCCCUCCCCCCGCGGUCCCUUGUCCCGACCCUUUGUUCCCUUAUCUCUCCCCCUCACCAUGCAGUCCGGUCCCUGUCCCCUGCCCCCCCCCCACCCCCCCCCGCGGCUUUCCCAUCGCGGUCCCCGGGGUUUCCCUGCCCCUGUCCCCUGCCCCUGUCCCCUGCCUCCCGUCCCAUUGGCUGUGGCUCAGGUUUCCCCCGCCCCCGGCAUGGGGUAUAACCGAGAGCCCUGCUCGCUCCCCUGGGGUCUCGGGAACACGCUCCCACAAUAAACACGUUUUUGCACCCGA